GAAUCAUGGCCGUCCACGACACCACAUCGUGCUAGAACACGUUGCGCGCCCUCAUCCCCCUCUCGGCAUUCGCGACGACAAUCACAGUCUAGGGGCGCUCGGGCAUCCCAUCGAAGAUCCUCUUGGCCUCGCGAUUCUCCCCGCGCUCGACGUGUACUGUGAUCAUCGCAUUCCAGGAGACGACGUCGUGCUGCGGCAUCCGCCAGAACAUCGCGCGCGCAUCGUCAAGAUUUCCUCUCUUGGCGUAGCCAGCGACCAUCGCGUUCCAGAUCACGAUGUUUUGCUGGGGAAUCGAGUCGAAUAUCGCCUUGGCAUCGUGGAUCCGGCCGUGGCGAGUGUAGAGCGUGAUCAUCGUGGUUCCAAGGUGCACAUCCCACUGCGGCAUGCUCUUCUUGAUCUUCUUGGCCUCCGCCACAUCCCCUCUCCGAGCAUAGGCAGCCGCCAAGGAAUUCCAGGUGACCGCAUUGCGCUCGGCCAUGGCAUCGAAGAUCCGCCGCGCCUCCUCGACCUCGCCAUUCUCGACAUAGGCCUGGAUCAUCAGAUUCCCGGAGAAGGAAUUGGGGCAAGGGAUGGAGUCGUGCACGGAUCGCGCGUCGCGGGGGCUGCGGCACUUGCCAUACAUCUCCACGAGCAGAUUGGCGAGGUACAAGCUCUGGGCAUGGAUGCUGCUGCCGCGGAUUCGAGCAUGCAAUCGCCGCCCCCCACACAGGUCGCGGUUCCUCCCGCAUUCGCGGACGAGCUCGCCGAGAUUCUUCUCCUCAACUCCAGCAGCAUCGUCUCUCAUCGGCAAAUGCCCGACUAUGGCAUCGCAUUCUCCGCGCGUGACAGUUACAUUCAUCGACUCAGGCUAGCUAGAACAAGGGAGAUCUGUGAGGAGUUCCUUUGCGGUGGCUUCUGGGCGAUGGAGAGGAGACAAGCACUAGGCUUUUACAAGGCGUGGGUGUGGGUGUGGCGGCCAUCUCCGACGAGAGCACGGAGUUUGGAGAGGGUGGAACUAGAGUUACUGGUGGGGGAUGUUGGUGGCGAGUAGUAGUGGUGGUGGCGGUGGUGGUACUGGGCUCUCGAUCUCUCACAACUAUCUGGAGCUUGGUCUUCUUGAAGCCCAGUAUCCGAGGAGGAAGAACUUCUUCGCCUGAGAAGAUUGACGGUGGUGGUGGUGGUGGUGGCGGCAUUCUUAUUCUGGUGGUGGUGGUGGUGGUGAUGGUCGCUCGUCGCCAUGGAUGGUGAUGGAGCUGGAUUGAGUUCUUCGCGGUCUUCCAGCGAUCCAGUGGGGGAUGACUUACCUGGAGAAGGCCCUUCAGCUGCAAUGCUACUGCAUUAUGUCCCACACGAGCACUUGGAACACUUCCUGAUGAACUAUGAGGAGAAUUCCAACGAAGCUCCGCUGCAAAAAUAAAAAUAGAAAUAAGCUUUCACAAAGAAUUAACUCGAGCUUUUUUACUGCUCACCAUCAAGAAAACCGGACGUCCAUGAAGGGUGUUCUAGCUGCAGCAGCAAUUAUAUUACGGUUCAUCAGCGCCUUUUCUCGCUCCAAGCUUUUGAUUAUCUUUGUCAUUUCGGCCUGCAUAAUUCCCGCGUCUUGAAGGUCCUGUUGUGAAAGAACUGAGCUUGCAAAACUCUAGCGUCUUUUAACACUGACUCCUUCCUGACGAGACAAACUCUGCCAUUAAAUCGAAUGAAACCAUGAACAGCUUCACUAACCUGAACUCUGCCAUAAAAAUCAACCAUCGGUAGAACAUACUCUUCAGCAGUGAUCUCUCCAGCAUAAUAUGAAGAUGUUGUCUGUGAGAUUUCUGCCUUUUGGACAUUAAGAGCCAGGCUUUAAAGACCUCUGACCUGCAAAACAAGAAAAAAGUUGCCUCAAUUCUCCGAACAAAAUGAAUGAUAAUUACCUCAGCUUGGCAGAUUGUCGAAAACGGAAACGCAACAGCAAGCGAUCUUCAGUCAACCGCACUUUCCAGCCACUGAACGCAUUCUGAUGAAGAUCUAAACACCGCGAUUCCUGAGCUUCAGAUCUCUAGUUGUUCCUUUUGCUCCUGCUGCUGCCGCUCAUGUGUUCCUAACCAAACCCUAAUUAAAAAAUCAAAUGAGAAUAUCUAUUAGAUAUCAACUGCUAUUGUACAAAUUAUGUGUAGUACCGACCAUCCAACAACAUUAACAACACUGAUGCUAAGUGGUGGUAGAAUUAAAAAUGUUAUAUGACUUUGGUAAAUCACCAUAAAUUAUCAUGGUAAAUCACCAUAAGAUAAAAGGUGAAAUCCCCGUGCGUUACACUAAUUUCUAAUACACAGGAUAGGUUCUUGUGUUCUCCUUCGCAACUUUACAUUUUCUGCAAUCGGAAAGCCUGCUUCUGGAGUAGAGCAGCAAUCUGGCGGCGGAUUUGACAUUGUGACUGAUCACAAACUCCUUGGACGCAUAGCCGCAGUGAAAUUCGAGCUGAGAAGCCGCCAUAGCCAUGCCCAGGGCUUUUUGUUCGUGUGUUCAGAAUUCAAUGGUUACAGUCAGAUCAACGGUCAGAUCUACACUAAGGACAUAUCUACGCGGUGUCGUCGUCAACGCCCUCAGAGAAGUUGACACAGUCCUUGUGGUGAAAUACUGCAACUUCACAAUCUCGGUGUGAGCAGACAACCACAGCACCUUCAUCCACUCCUUGCCGACAUAGGCAGAUAUCUUCAUUUGUUGCAUUUUUAACAAUCGAAACAUUAAAACCGCACGAAACACAUACCACGAGAUGGCGGUGCCUCUACCAAAUUCAGUGAAACAAUUUGUUGCUGUAGCUCGAAAAGGCUGAGCUCAAAAUGAAAAUCUUGAUCAAGCCCUGCAAUGUCAAGAAAAAAAAAUUCAAAUAAAAGCCAAAACAUAGAAAUAUACCUGUCGGAUAUCCUCGCAUAAUUUUGUGCAAAGGAAUUCUUUGCACAAAAUCUUCUUGGUUCUCUUCAUUACAUACCCCAGGACUGAAGUUCACGUCGCGGAAACGACCGGUGCCAUCUUGAUGAUCGAGUAUGAAAAGAAGAAACCGCUGGCUAAGCACCCCAUUACCUGAUCAAGUAACUCGUAAGAAAAAGAAAAAGAAGAAAAGUUGCCUUAACCAGCUCGCUUGAUCUCCAGUUUGAUGCCCAAUGUGAUGGCCACGCCGUUGCAUGACCACCACCGCAUCUCUUCCUUGAGCCGCGGGAUCGAUUCAUUUCUAUACGACAGCUCAAGGACAAAGCUCGGAAGAGCAUUUGGCGUUUGCGAUGGCACCCAUGCUGUAAAACAUCGCAAACUGUUAUACACAAACCACAUAUCCAAGAGAGUACAAGCAUACCGACGUCAGGCUCCUUAUUGAUAACGUACUUGUCGACUUUGAGUGGUAUUCUCGUAGAUCCAAUUCCAAGCAAAACAUCUCGGCUUUUGAAGCUACCCCGAUUGCCUUGCUCAUACCAUGCUGAUACCAUCUGCUCCUUCAUCUCAUGUACGCAGAGGGCAACAACCUCAUGAACGCGUGAGGGAUCGCCGUAAAGCCAAACGGACCCAAAAUCCUUCCCCGCCUCCUUUACAAAGGAGAGUUUCCACCCGCUUUCGAUUUCCAAGCUCCAGAGCUCAAACACACUCUCAUACACUCUGGAAGCCACAAGAUAAGGGCCUCGACAUCGUCCUUUUGCAGCAUCCUCUUCUAGCUCAGCUAUUGCCUUAUCUAAACCUAUGUGCAGAUCCACAGGCCUGCACACGGUACUGGUAACAUCCCCACACCGAUAGAGACCACCCUCAAUGACAUCGCUGACACCACAACACGCCAUUACCUGAUAAUACUACCCUUAGCCUGUCCUGUGUAUUUAGGGUAAACCGGUAAACCUUAAAAGCACAACGGUUGAUGGGGUGGACUGCAUGGUGGGCCAUGGCAGGGGCGCGCCUGAGCACCGUCCGUUGACCGUUGACGAAGGUAGGACGAGAAGACCGGACAGUUGACCGCUGAACAGGCCGUUGAGGCAAUCCCUUACUGCCGAAGAUCCUCUAUCGAAACUACAACUCCUACAGCUAAAUACUCUGCCGUGUUCCCAAGAAAUGCUCGCCGCAAACAGCCGCCCCCUCGGUUGAAUGCCGUGACCAGAGAAAUCGACCCACAAGGUGAAAACACGCAGAAACCCACCCCGAAAAAAGAAAAGAAAAAAGAAAAACAGAGGAACCCGGAAAAGGAAAAUAACGAAAAUAAAGGCACUGGAGCCUAGCUCAGAAUCCGAGGCUCUGAAAAAAAAUAAAAAAGCAACGUUCAAAUCAAAACUCCAGAAAUACAUACCGAUUGUGCUCGUUUUCCAAAGUAGUGCAGAAAGUUCCCAGGACAAUGGACCACAUCAGUUGCUCCUGCAAUUUCAGCCCUCCUUAUCGCCUCCUUGUCCUGAAAUUCUUGACAGUCAGCCGAGAUUUCUACAAGAGAAACGUAAGAAAGUCGUUUCGUCCGCCAGCCAGCCGUCGAUGACAACACCAGUUGCAAAAAUUUCAGAGAGCUUCCAACUGUGGGGCAUAGGUGAAGGUUUCGCACUGUACUUGAAAAUGAUCAUGAUCGUACCUUCACAAGAGCAACAAACAACUCAGUAACUAAACUGGAGGAGUGAAGUAUAUAUCCUACCUUCCUUCAAUAUCGCAAUGAUUAGAACCAUGAAAGGUGAAAAAAUCGAAUUUCCAUAUCAAAGCCAGCAGCAUAAGACCGAGUUUCAGAAAAACGCAAAGGUAAACACAAGAAACUGUUCCAUAAAUGAAAAAUACUCACUGGUUGUGUUGGAUACUGCAUAUAUAUAUAUGUAUAGGAAAAAAAAACGAGUCAAAGAUAUUACGAUUACAAAACAGUUAUGGUCCGUAUUAUUUUUAUGUUAAGUCAUCAGUUUUUUCGACAUUUGAAUGGCACUCAAAUUGUACUAAGCUCAGAAUUAGUGAGAGAGAGGCCAGUUGCCAUUUAAGUCUCCAACCAUUGGAAAAUCUUUAUUUGCAACUGGCAAAUUUGUUAUUUUGGUUGUCUGUAUACAUAAAUUUACCAUGCAAUUUAAGCAACUGGCAAGUAGCAUGCUCAGUUGUUUCUAUUUGAUGUUGCAGCAACGGUGGAUUUUGUGAAGAGUGGUCGCCGUUUGCAAUCGCUAGACGACGCUCCGAGUAAAAGAGCCUAUGCUUCAAGAACCUGACGAUGGAGAAAGCUUCAGUGGUUUAAAGCUGUCGAUUCAAAAGCGGACUCUUCGAAUCAAACAGCGUUUAUGUGAUCGAUGAUGAAAUUCUGCUCAACUGAACUCCAGAGCUGCUGAGAUAUCAUCCAUCUCAGUUGCACAAUUCGCUUCCAAAUUGAUAAACAGCUUCAAGAUGUAUCUCAAGCAAUAUCUCCGUUGCUUCAUCAUUUAUCAGUAGAACGAUUAGACACAACUCCUACCAUUUAUUGAGUUCUCGUACAACAACACAGUUCACGGUUCCAUGCAACAAACAUUUUUCUUCUUUCUCCAAUACUACCAUCCACGAUGGACGUUUCAUGAAUCCGUUUCUCUACUGGCCAAUUUUUCUACCACAAACCGGUCAACUUAACUCCAACACAUUCAUCAUGAUCUCCAAGAACAUUUCCUCGAGGCUCAGAAACGUCACAAACUCGCCUCGCCUCAUGGCUCCUAAGUAAAAGGUUGGUGAUUAAGUUUGGUUAUUGCGGUGCAACAUUCAAACUACUCGUCCAUCUGGUAAAUUCGACUAUCAAUGCCUCGGUUCCUUCCAAAUCUCUGCUCGCAUUCAUGAAGUUGCAUAUCAACUGGAUCUUCCUCCGAGUAUGUGCCUCCAUCCUGUCUUUCAUGUUUCCCUGCUCGAACCAUACGUCACCAAUGAUAUUCCAAGUCGAGUCAUCCCACCAGCUCCCGAAGUCCAGAUUGAUUGUCACCCCAGUAUGAAGUUGCUGAGAUCCUCGAUUCUAAGAUCCUUCGACAUCGGAUGUACUACCUCAUCGACUGGGUUGGUUACUCUCCAAGAGAUUGGACAUGGGAACCCUCGCAAAGUAUAGUAAAUUCUUCAGGUAAAUUUUCUGACUUCCACGGCCGUGAACAAAGUCAUGGGAACGUUGCAGGGUCACGAAAUCCCAAAGGGCCAGGCCAAGAUCGAGCAGUUCAUGGAUUCCUCCCACGCAAAGAUCACCAAGCUCGUCAAGGUACCGACACUCUCAUUCUUGUAAAUUCAUCCUUGUUCUCUUUUUUGUGCAGGGAUACUUGGACAAGUAUGUGUCGUGAUGUUUUGACAAUGGUUGGAAGCCGGAAGAUUGAUUUCUCAACAGAUUGUACUAUGUAAGUCUAUAAGUAUCAAUAGCUAACAUUUAAGGUACGCGCACUGGUUCUACUCUUCUGUGUUCUUCAAUUUCUCUAUGGUAUUUCUUUCGAUCUAACAAAAAAAAUCGGUUUUUGAUGAGCCAGCUCUAGGUGGUCACUCGAGCAAGAUAUUGGCCAUGAGGAUAUAAGGUCCGGGGUUCUCGGGGUGUGCCUCAAACGCGCUCCACGCCGCUCGGAGACCACACUGGAUAUCACUGUGGAUCCGAGCGCCGCCAAGCAGUGCUCCCCAGGUGGUAUCAUCGGGAAGAUAUGGCAUGCUCUGGAUAAGCUCCUCGGCCUGUGGGAGCUGCCCGGCUCGAGCCAGCAAAUCCACCAUGGAGCAGUAGAUCUCAAAGUGUGGAGCUACGCAUCGAUCUUCCAGCAUGUACAAGAAGCACUGGCGGCCUUCUUCGACGAGCCCGACGUGCCGGCAAGCGCUCAGGAUGUUCACGCAGGUGGCCUCGUCGGGUGGAAUUCCCAGGAGUUCCAUCGGUUUGAGCAGCUCCAGCGCUACCUUGCCAUGCCCGUUUCGAGCAUACGCGGUCGCCAUCUCGGCCCAGGGCUUGACGUCCGGGUGUGGGAUCCUUGCGAGAAGAUCCCGGGCUUCGCCCAAAUGCCCGCUCUGGGCAAAUGCUGCCACCACCGCGGUCCAGGUGAUCCAAUUGCGCUCCGGCAUGGAUUGGAAUGCGUGCUUCGCUUGGGCGACGAGGCCGCUCUGGGCGAAUCCGGCUGCGAUGCUCGUCCAGGAGAUUACAUUCCUCUGGGGCAUCCGAUCGAAGGCGGUGCUUGCCUCGUCAAUCAGACCCGCCUGGGCGAAGCUCGAGAUCAUCGCGUUCCAGGAGAUGAGGUUGGCCUGGGGCAUGGAAUCGAAGACGGCCUUGGCGGCGACGGCGUCUCCGACGAGCCCGUGCACGGUGAUCAUGGCGUUCCAGGAGAUCACAUCGAGCUGUGGCGCGCGAGAGAUCGCGGCGGUGGCGUCGUCGACCUGGCGAGAUUGGGCGUAGACGGCGAUGAGCGCGUUCCAGGAGACGAUGUUGCGAGAGGGCAUCGAGUGGAAGAAGGAUUGGGCAUCGUCGACGCGACCGCUCUGGGAGAAGACUGUGAUCAUCGCGUUCCAGGCGAUGGAAUCCCAUUUGGGCAUAAGCGAGAACAUCUCGACCGCUCGAUUCAAAUCUCCCGCCGUCGCCAGGCCUUCGAUCAUGGCCGUCCAGGAUACCACGCUCCUUUCCGCCGCGGAAUCGAACAUCGCCAUCGCAUCGUCCACGUGUCCCUCUUCCGCGAAACCACGAAUCAUGGCCGUCCACGACACCACAUCGUGCUGGGGCAUUCUCAAGAACACGCUGCGCGCCCUAGCCACAUCCCCGCUCUCGGCAUUCGCGACGACGAUCACAGUCCAAGGGAUCACAUCGCGCUCGGGCAUUCCAUCGAAGAUCCUCUUGGCCUCGCGAAUCUCCCCGCGCUCGACGUUGGCUGUGAUCAUCACAUUCCAGGAGACGACGUCGUGCUGCGGCAUCCGCCAGAACAUCGCGCGCGCGUCGUCAAGAUUUCCUCUCUUGGCGUAGCCAGCGACCAUCGCGUUCCAGAUAACGAUGUUUUGCUGGGGAAUCGAGUCGAAUAUCGCCCUGGCAUCGUGGAUCCGGCCGUGGCGAGUGUAGAGCGUGAUCAUCGUGGUUCCAAGGUACACAUCCCACUGCGGCAUGCUCUUCUUGAUCUUCUUGGCCUCCGCCACAUCCCCUCUCCGAGCAUAGGCAGCCGCCAAGGAAUUCCAGGUGACCGCAUUGCGCUCGGCCAUGGCAUCGAAGAUCCGCCGCGCCUCCUCGACCUCGCCAUUCUCGACAUAGGCCUGGAUCAUCAGAUUCCCGGAGAAGGAAUUGGGGCAAGGGAUGGAGUCGUGCACGGAUCGCGCGUCGCGGGGGCUGCGGCACUUGCCAUACAUCUCCACGAGCAGAUUGGCGAG
rnacentral:lncRNA from 1 species